rnacentral:rRNA from 1 species
GGGGAAUUUUACGCAAUGGGGGAAACCCUGACGUAGCGACACCGCGUGAGCGAAGAAGCCUUUUGGGGUGUAAAGCUCUGUCAGCUGGAACGAACACAAUGACGGUACCAGCAGAGGAAGCAUCGGCUAACUACGUGCCAGCAGCCGCGGUAAGACGUAGGAUGCAAGCGUUGUCCGGAUUCAUUGGGCGUAAAGAGUUCGUAGGUGGUCUGUUAAGUUUGGUGUUAAAGAGCGGGGCCCAACCCCGAUAGUGCACUGAAUACUGGCAGACUUGAGUGCGGUAGAGGUAAGUGGAAUUCCAAGUGUAGCGGUGAAAUGCAUAGAUAUUUGGAAGAACACCGGUGGCGUAAGCGACUUACUGGGCCGUAACUGACACUGAGGAACGAAAGCCGGGGUAGCGAAUG